CCUACGGGUGGCUGCAGUGAGGAAUAUUGGUCAAUGGACGCAAGUCUGAACCAGCCAUGCCGCGUGCAGGAAGACGGCUCUAUGUGUUGUAAACUGCUUUUGUACGAGGGUAAACGCGGAUACGUGUCUCUGUCUGAAUGUAUCGUACGAAUAAGCAUCGGCUAACUCCGUGCCAGCAGCCGCGGUAAUACGGAGGAUUCAAGCGUUAUCCGGAUUUAUUGGGUUUAAAGGGUGCGUAGGCGGUCGGAUAAGUUAGAGGUGAAAUCCCGAGGCUCAACGCCGGAAUUGCCUCUGAUACUGGUAGGCUAGAGAGGAGUAGCGGUAGGCGGAAUGUAUGGUGUAGCGGUGAAAUGCAUAGAGAUCGUACAGAACUCCGAUUGCGAAGGCAGCUUACCAAGCCAAUACUGACGCUGAGGCACGAAAGCGUGGGGAGCGAACAGGAUUAGAUACCCUAGUAGUC
rnacentral:rRNA from 1 species